rnacentral:rRNA from 1 species
AGCAGCCGCGGUAAUUCCAGCUCCAAUAGCGUAUAUUAAAGUUGUUGCAGUUAAAAAGCUCGUAGUUGAAUUUCGGGAUCAAUACGUCGGUCGUGCUUCGGUACGUACUGGCGUAAUUGAUUUCUCCCUUCUGACGAACCAUGAUGUCAUUAACUUGGUGUCAUGGGAAAUCAGGACUGUUACUUUGAAAAAAUUAGAGUGUUUAAAGCAGGCUCACGCUUGAAUACAUUAGCAUGGAAUAAUGAAAUAGGACGUUCGAUCCUAUUUUGUUGGUUUUUAGGAUCAACGUAAUGAUUAAUAGGGAUAGUUGGGGGCAUUAGUAUUCAAUUGUCAGAGGUGAAAUUCUUGGAUUUAUUGAAGACUAACUACUGCGAAAGCAUUUGCCAAGGAUGUUUUCAUUAAUCAAGAACGAAAGUUAGGGGAUCGAAGACGAUCAGAUACCGUCGUAGUCUUAACCAUAAACUGUGCCGACUAGGGAUCGGAUGAUGUUAAUUUUUAAUGACUCAUUCGGCGCCUUAAC